CAUGCAGCCGAGCGGUAGAGAUCUUUCUGGAUCUUGAGAGCGGCGUACGGGUGCGGAACACGUGUGCGACCUGCCUUUAUCAGGGGGAUAGCCUUUCGAAAGGAAGAUUAAUACCCCAUAAUAUAUUGAGUGGCAUCACUUAAUAUUGAAAACUCCGGUGGAUAGAGAUGGGCACGCGCAAGAUUAGAUAGUUGGUGAGGUAACGGCUCACCAAGUCUGCGAUCUUUAGGGGGCCUGAGAGGGUGAUCCCCCACACUGGUACUGAGACACGGACCAGACUCCUACGGGAGGCAGCAGUGAGGAAUAUUGGACAAUGGGUGCGAGCCUGAUCCAGCCAUCCCGCGUGAAGGACGACGGCCCUAUGGGUUGUAAACUUCUUUUGUAUAGGGAUAAACCUACUCUCGUGAGAGUAGCUGAAGGUACUAUACGAAUAAUCACCGGCUAACUCCGUGCCAGCAGCCGCGGUAAUACGGAGGGUGCAAGCGUUAUCCGGAUUUAUUGGGUUUAAAGGGUCCGUAGCGGAUCUGUAAGUCACUGGUGAAAUCUCACAGCUUAACUGUGAACUGCCAUUGAUACUGCAGUCUUGAGUGUUGUUGUACUAGCUGGAAUAAGUAGUGUAGCGAUGAAAUGCAUAAAUAUUACUUAGAACACCGAUUGCUAAGGCAAGUUACUAAGCCACG
rnacentral:rRNA from 1 species